CGAACCGGGCGGGGCGGGCGCCUCCGCCUGCCAGCCGCUCCCGCAUUAAAAUUUCAUGGGCGCUGCAGUAGCUACAAAGAAGACGCUUGCUGCGCUCGGGGGACCAGAGGGAGGGAGGCUGCGGACGAGUGCGGGGAGGAGUUUGCGAUGGGAGGUGCUUGCAUGGGCUCCCCCAGUUCUGCGCUGUGAGCCCGGGCACAAAGAGCCCUCUGCACUCGUGCCGCAGGACCACGGACCCGAGCGCCUGCGAAUGCUCCAUUCCUGGGACCCCAAUUUCAGAUGUCCGGCGUUCUGUGUGGCUCCAAAGGGGUGGGAGAGAGCCCGAAAACCCCGUUCGUUGAGGAGAAGAAUAAUGACUGUGAUAAUAAUACAUCCGUUUAUGGAGAGCUUACUCUAUGCCAACUAAAUAAAUGCUCAGUGCUUUGCAUGCGUUAUCAUAACAGUCCCGCAAGGUGGUGGUCAGAUCGUCCGUUGUGUGAACAGUGCCCCGAACUCUCCCCUCCGCCCCUCGCCUAGAACCAUGGGGCAAAAUGGUUUUCCUGAAGACACGUCGCCAGGCCCUAGCUUUGGGUGGCAUUGAACUCAUCCUGUGCCGAGUUUCAUUCAUUUUAUGUUGAAAGAAUUUUGCCGCUGCAGGCACCGCCCUGCCCACUCAUGUGGUCCCAGACACGUUCACAUGGCCGCCAUGACCCUCACAGCAUCAAAGGAGCAACCAAGGUGACUCUUUCUCUCCUUCUGGGCACCCCUGGGAUGGUAGAGACCAGCAUCAUGCUAUGUGCUCAGGCCCACCAAGAAAUUCAUCCAUGCUAAGACCUCCUGCAUCUCAGAGAGUGCAGCAAGUUCCUGGGAUAGAGGAGAGAGAAGGGAAUUUCUGAGUGCUUCUGGACGUUCAAGACGACACUGGGAAGCAGCCUUGCAGAUAAGUAUUCAAACUUUGCAGCCUGCAGCCUACCAGCCUGCCCUCUCCUGGUCUGUGCAGGAAAAUGUAGUAACCCAGAAUCUCCAGGUGGGAGGGGGAUUGGUGAUGCAGCUGUUCAUUUCUCUCCCUCCAUGCCACAAAGAAAGAGCUUUGUGGGGCCCUGUAAAGGGUAAUUGUCACACCCCACUUUUGGCAUCAAGGCUAGUAUUUCAUAAACCCCACCAUCAGGAGCUUCUGAGGCGCUGAGGUUAACGACUUCAUCUUGAGCGCUUGUAGAGCUGGUGUCAGAAGGAGGCUGGAGGCUCCUGUGAUAGGGGCUGGCCCGCCUCUUCUCAGUUCUGGCCCUUUGUCAUCAUAUUGAUAAAACUCCGACAGGGCUCCUUUGCCUGGCAGUCAAGGUGGGGGGGGGGCGCGUGAGCACUGUGCACUUUGCACUCUUCUGAGUGCAAAGGUCUGAGUACACCCCCAGCCCUGGACCUGUGCCCCAAGUCCCAGGUGCUGACAGCAAGCUCUGAAAAUAUGCUGAGCGGAACCCCGACUCGCCUGGCCCAGGUCUACCAGUCAAUGAAGGUAGCUUAGCCGUCACCAAAAGCAAAACCUGGGAGAUGGUUCGGGUCAGGAUUAGUGGGAGUUUGAUGGUGGGCAGGGUGGGGGGCAGAAAAAGAACUGGCUGAGCACAGGGGCCCCUGGCAUUUCCCACCCACUGCCUCAAACUCUGGGUUACUACUGUGCAUCUUAGGUGACUGUCAGGGCUAGAAGGGCCCAUAGCCCAGACUUUCCAGGGCCACACAGCAAGGCAGAGCUGGGAUUAGAACGCCUCAUUCCUGACUCUGUUCAGGUUCUCCUGGAUCACAUUCUGCUGUUGUCAGGGACCAGGGAGGUGGGGGAGGGACGUUCGGGGGCGGGGGAAGGGUUGUGGAGGGUGGCAUGCCCGGGCCCCAUCUCCCUGGCUCCCCAGCCUGCUUCUUCUUAGUGGAGAGGUCCGGCCAGGCCAGGGCCGGGGGAGGGGCCCGGGUGCGGUUUUCUCCUGCAGUGUGGUUGGCUCUUUUGUCUUCUAGGAUGGGCCUGUGGGGUCUACAGAGGAAGAAGCCAGAAGCCGGGCCCAGGCCGCCAGCAUGUUGGCUGGGCGCUGCCAGCACAAAUGUGGACCGAGCCCCUUCUCCCAGCCUGAGGAUCCAGAAGUAAACACCAGAGCUGUGUUGCCGCUGUCUCAGAUCUUCAUGUAAGAAAGUGCUUUAUCACAGUCUCAGCGCAGGAGUGAGCUCCCCGUCCUGGGAGGCAGCUCUGCCUUGCCACACCUCCAGGAUUCCUGGCCUGGUCUUGUCUUUGGAGCCCAGGUGACUCUGGCCACAGUGACACAGGCAGCAGCUCUUGGUGGUUUCCUGGAACCCCGGACCAUUCCCCCAAGAUCUUAUUCUUCCCAACUCCCGGGAUGGAGCCUCGCGUGGACAAAGGACCCUCCUGAUUGGUGCUCAGCUGAGGACGGGACCUGGCUCUGGAGGUCAGCUCGAGGGGCGUGAGGGUGGCAGGCAGCCCUCUGUCCCCUCUGCGCCCUCCUGGACCUUGCCUGCUGGGCCCGGAAGCCAGCUCCUGACCUGUGAGGACUUGUUUCCUCCUCUCGUCUAUGCUGGUGAUGAGACAAAUCUCGGCCUGGGCAGAGGCCCCACUGACUGUACCCUCCCUAAGGCCAGGUCCCAAUGGACCCUCCAGCACUGGGGCACGAACAUGGGAUGGAGUCGGGAGGAACUGCCAGUGGGAGGGAGGCCAGAUGCAUCUCAGUGAGCGCCGUGGGCUGGAGUGUGUCUUGUGCCGCCAUUUGCCUUGUGAGUGAUCUUCAUUUUGGGGGUGUUUUUUGGAUAGAGCUUCUUCUCUUUCUGAUGGUCAGGGGGAGGAGGCGGUCAGUGUCUGGGAGGAGCCUGGGCCGUCCCCCAUGUUCAGCUCUGGGAGGGGGAAUGGCUGUGCUAUCCUGAAAGGGGAGGGUUUUCGAGAGAGGAGGAUACCCAGGCCAGGGGGUGUCGCCAGAAAGAGACAGACACUGGGCCUGUUCCUACCAUCCAAAGGGAACAGGCUGCAACCAGCUUUGCCCCCAGGCUUGAGGGUCACUCAGCUUGAUUUCUGAGUCCUAUUCCUGUUGCACCUGAUCCUCGAUUCUGUCCUUGUGGGGCAAAGGCAGGCAAGGCAGCCCCCAUGCAUGCACGUGCAGCCUCCCCCAUCACAGAGCUUCUCUUGCACGCCCACCUCUCUCUCCAUCCUCUGCUUGUUCUAGUCCCCUCCAGAGGAGCUGGUCCCAGUGCUCACACAAGAGCAGCCGUGGCCUUCCUCAGGCACAUUUAAAAGCUGCACGUCCUUUCCCCAGGGUGGGGAGGGGGCCUAUCUAUUAUUAGUUUGCUGGAGCUGCCAUCACAGAAUACCACAGACUGGGCGGCUUAAACAGCAGAAAUAUAUUGUCUCACAGUUCUGGUGGCUAGAAGUCCGAGGUCAAGGUGCCAGGCUUGGUUUCUCCUGAGGCCUCUCUCCUCAGCUUGCAGAUGGCACCUUCUUGCUUCAUCUUCACAAAGCCUUUUCUCUGUGCACACAGGCAGGGGGAGGAGGAGGGGUGGGGGGUGAGAGGGAGCGGGGAGCGGGGAGAGGGAGAGAUUUUGUGUCUCUUCCACUUUUUAUAAGGACACCAGUCUUAUCAAAUUAGAGCCCUACCCUUAUGCCCUCAUUAAGCCUUAAUUACCACCUUAAAGGUCCCAUUUCCAAAUAUAGUCACAUUGGGGGGUAGGGCUUAAAUCUGUGAAUUGGGGGAGGGACACAAUUUAGUCCAGAACAGGCAGUCACCACAAACGUGGAAAGCUGGAGCCAUCUCCUCUGUACAAUCUCUGCCCCCACAGGGAGGGGGAAGAGGAACAGAGGUGCGGAAGUAGUCACGGGGGUGCAAGGGGGACUGUGCUAAGGUGGCCCUGGGUCUCCUGGACACACAGAACUAGUGGGACCUAGGGCAGCGAGGAGGAGCUCCCAGGAGAGGGAUGUCCCGGAAGAGCCUGGGCUUUGGACCGACGGUGUGUACUCUGCUGUACAACCUUGGGCAAGCUAUCUCACCUCUGUGAGUCCGAUUUCCACUCUGAAAUGGGCCAUCUGUUCCCCUGGGGGCACAGGGGGGAUUCAGUGAAAUCACAUGCUUGCACAGCACCUGUCUCUUGAAAGGUCCUCAUUAAAUCCUCCCAUCCACCUGCAAGUUUAGAUUUAGGGCUUAUCUAUUUUUGGUGCUCUGGACCAUAAACGCAGCAUCUUCAGAUCCAGAGGCAAUUUUGACUAGCCUGUCCCAUCCUGUUUCCUUAAGAUCUAAGCGACUUGGGGAAGUGGCUGUAUUUCCUGGCCUCCAUAGUCGCUCCAAAUGCUUCCGAGGGUAUUUAAAUUCUACUCUCAUCAGAAUUGAGCAUCUAUUAUACUUCGGGCCCUUCCCUGUGUUAGCCGCUUGGGGGAGAUACAGGUGAAGGUCUAGGCAUAGUUCCAACAGAACCAGCUCGCCACAGACAACUGGAGAAUGCAGCAGAAAGCAGUCUAUGGGGGGUGGGAGUGAGAUCUCAGAGUGGGCUGCAGCAGUCCGACAGGCCUCCCAGCAAGGCUGACCCAAUCCAGGCCUUGAAGGAUGAGAAAGAUGUGGUUUAACUGAGAGCUUCCAGUGGGGAAAUUAGAGCAGAUUCCCAAAGUGAGUUCUAGGAGCUGUCACUGCUCUUAAAAAAAAAAAAAAAAAAAGUAUGUCAAAUUCGGCAUGUUUCUGUAGUGCAGGAGUUAUCAGAGCCUUUAAAAUGCCAGUAGGAAGGAAUUGUGAAUACUCAAGGACAGACAGAGGAUGAGGUGUCACCCAAAACUUUACUACUUUACUGGACAGGACCUUUUUUUUUUUUUUUAAUAGAGUAUCAUUUAGAAUUGUGGGAGAUGCUAGGCUGGGUUUUCUGUGGAAAAACUAUAGCAAUGAUCUGAGAUGACAUGAGGAGGGCCCGGACAGGUGCUCUGUAGCAUUGGCUGGAAAGGCAGCAGACCAGGAGGGGCUGGGGCGUCUGACCUUGGAUCCAGGGGUCAAGCAAGCUCUCUGCAGUUUUGGUAUGAGGAGGAGACAGGCUGGUAGCAGUUGGAACCGCCAGAGGCCUGGCUGUGGGUGAUCCGAAGAGAUGUCCACUGGACAUGGUGGCUCUGGGGCAUCAGACCUUUUGUGGGAAGAUGCUGGUGUGUGCACGUGUGCGUGUGUGUGCACGCGUGAGUGUGACAGGAUCCAGCUCUUUGGGAAAUGGGCUGACCAGAGCCGGGCAGGGGGGUUUCUAGCCAGGACAAGGAAGGACUGUUUCCAGGGGGAAUGAAAGUGUUUGGCGGGAGGGUCUCUGAGGCCCAUGGGAAGUCAAGAAAUCGGGAAGCCAAAUGCUUCUGGGCAGGGUCCGCUUGGAUAGGCUUGAUUCUGGUAGGGCUGAGAGGCUGGGAGGCAGACCCCCUGCCCUGGUCAGGCCCAGCUCCCUGGCUGGUGGGGACAGGAGGCCUCGAGCUGCAGCCGAGGGGCCCGGGCAGUGUUGCAUGGUGUGAUUAACCUACUAACCCAGGGCUCGGCCGGGACGCUGUGGUGUGUGACGAGGUGCCUGGCCUUCUGCCCACUAACUAACCCACUAACCAGGCCCGAGCAUGCCCUACUAACUCCCCGCAGCCAGACCCUACUAACCUUGCAGCUCAAGGGCCUUUCAAGGGGCUGGGACGUGGGGAGCACUCGAGGCUCUGGAAGGCCCGGCCCAUGGCCUGGGAUCUCUGUGCAGACCCACAUUCCAGGGCAAGGCAUGCAAAUAAGACUCGACAGCUCUGCCACUUCCUGCUGGGUGACUUUGAGCAAGUCACCUCACCACUCUGAAUCCAUUUCCUCAGGUCCUGACAAGUGGCAGGUACUUCCAAAGGGUGAGGGUGGGAGUGGGAGGCCCAGAAAACUUGGUUGACCCUAUUCCCUGCCUAGGCCCUGGUCCCUUUGGGUGUUCUGCACAUAGACCUUCUGCCUGGGGCCAGACACUUGCUUUGAACCCCUAACCGUCUCUUCCCCCCAUUCUUCCUCCUCCUCAGCUUUCUCUUCCAUAGGCAGCUCUUUUGUUCGAUUACUAACCCGUCUAACCUGGGGGUGCCUCAGGUGCACCUCGACCACCCCUUAACAAACUAACGGACCUGUGUGUGUUCUUCCUUUUAUCCUAGUGACUCCUGUGUGUGUCUGCUGAGGUGCCCCUCUCUGCUGGUGCUGUGCUCUGACUUACUAACCCCAGCCCCUACUAACCCUGUUUUCUCUUCUUACUAACCCAGCCCUGCCGAGCUCUGGGCCCCCCUGGGGGCUGGUCCUCCCUCCUUUUGGCAAGCAGAUGCUCUGGGGCUGGCCCUGCAGACAGAUGCUCUACUUGGCUGCCCCAAUUGGCUGUGAGUUCAGUCCACUGGGCCAGGUCAGAGGCAGGGGACAGCCCUAUUGACCAUACCAGUGGCCCAGAGGAAAAGGUGGUCAUGUGGACAUGGGAGGCUGGCCUCUGAGCACAAGCAUCUCUCUUCUGUGCAGAAGCGUGCUUGCCACUGGGAGUGGGUGGGACCAGGGAAACCUCUGGGGUGUGAGUGUGGAGGCCUAUGGGUCUAGAGUGUGGAGCACUGAGCUUUUCCCAGCCAAGGGAGCAGAGAGAAGAGGGCCAUGGUUCUUUCUUUGGAGGGAAGUGAGGGUAGAAUUGUCCCCAUUGAAAAGUGUGGGGGUGGGGUCAGUGUUGCACAGGAAGCCAAUGGGGUGUGUGGGGGCGUGUCCCACACCACAAGUCAAAAAAGGGACAUGUCCCACAGCGGAAGUCAGUAAGUGGAGACUUCCCUACACUGCAAGUCAAUAAAAGGGUCUUUUCCACCCUGGAAUCCACUGAGUGGAGCAUUUAGUACAGGAAGUCAGCUAGGAUGGGAGGAAGAGCAUUUCUUAUACCGGAAGUCAGCGAGAAGGGAAUUUCUGGCCUUCUCACCAAGUGGUGAGAAGGAAUAGCCAAGAGAUGAGUGAGAGGGUCCUUCCCCACAACAGGAAGGUGGCUAGAGGGCCCCUUCCCUUCCCGAGGCCGGGAGGUCUGGCUUUCCCACACUGAAAGUCGAUGUGGGCCAUGUUUCCUGCUGGAAGUCAUUGAGAAGGACUGUCCACACCAGGAAGCUUGAGAAGGCUGGGAAGAAAGAUGAUGAAACCCGGGCUUGGGGUUUGCAGAAGGAGGAAAUGGGAAACAAGAAAUGAACCCCAGGGCGCCACAGGUUCCUACAGCCCCUCAGGCCAGACAGGAGCUCACCCCUGGCUUCCUGUCCUGUUCCCACCCACAUCCUGGCCCCAGCCUGCCUCCCCCAGAGCCCGCCAGCCGCUAAGCCAGGGCCACACCUGGGGGUGAUUUUAAUCCUCACCUCCAGUAGGCACCUUGGUCUCUUUGGGCUAAUCUCUGGCUCCUUUGCACUAACUCUUGCUCUCACUCAGCUAAUCCUUGCCUUGCCCUGGCCGUCCCCGAAGGGCUGACCACUAACAGCCAACCCUGCCCAUCUUGGGACUCCAGGCAACUGGUCUGGCUCUGACCGGCUCUUAAUUAACCUCUCCUUCAUCUCGACUAACGCCUGCACUCCUGGUCUGUUCCUUUCAGCAGAAACUAACGGCUUGUGGAUUUCCUUCUGACUAACAACGGGUCUAACACUCCUUGUUACUAUUACCAUUAACAGCUUGGAUGUCGGCAUGGCUGGGAUGGGACUAACACAGGUUUGAAAUUGGACUAACACAGGGAGAUGUGUAGCUAGUAGCGUUGGAUCGCUCUGGGUCAGAGCCAUCCAAAGUCAGUCAAUACCGUGGUCCUCUAAAGGAGGUGCUGGGCUCGGGUGUGGCUCAGGCUUGAUGGAGGAGUGAUGUCUGCUGGGGUGUGGUCAAAAGCACAGUCAGCCUUCCAAGGCAUUGGCUACUGGACAGAUCCUGUUAAACCUUCAUAAUCUGCAUAUGGGUUUUGGUUCUUUGAAACAAUAGCCUCGAAGCUCCAAUAGUCCAAAUGAGUGGAUGCAGCACUUAGAGCCCUCAGAAUGCCUCCCUGGUGUGUACAGAGGCUGUGCCAUUAUGUACGGAAGGGUCACCAGUCACCAGGCCAGGGCCUAGAGUCCUUGAUUUGGGGACUUGAGAGUUUUGGAAGCCCUAGGACAUAAAGCUUUAGAUUGGAAUAUUCGGAAGGGUUAUAAAUCCAUCACCCAUUUACACAGUAAAAAUGAGCUCAGCUUCCUCUUCUAUGCAAUCUAGCUGCGUUGAGAUGAUGAGCGUUUGGCGGGAAGGGAGUUUAGAAGGGCCGAGGGAGGAUUCUUUGGGAGCAGAGAGGGGUCCAGGAGGCCAAGGGUUCCUGGGUGGGAGCUAGAGGUGGCACCCGGUUGAAGGGGGCAUGGGAAGAGGUACUGUUUUUACUGGUCCGUCUGGUAGUCAGGGCCUGUGAGAGAGGACAGCUCAUGCAGAGCCUGGAGGAUUGGAUCAGCUCAGGGUCAGGGUCAGCUCAGAGGCUGGCCUGGAGGCCUUGUAGGCAAGGGGCUUGGGUCAUUGGAUGCUGGCCUGGGGCCGAGAGCCUCUCUGACAGCCAUGGACCCAGCUAACCGAGUGGAGCUAGCAGCGAGGCCUGAAGGGUGAUCCAGAGGCCUGAGUUGCAAAGAGAACAAGAAGCGAAUGCACCGGGAAGAGCUUGAGAAGCUGCAUUGGCUGCUGGCAGGACUGGGGAUGGAGCGGAGUGGGAAGCACAUGUCUGCUGCCCUCUAGUGGCCGACUUGCCCCAUUUCACUAGAAGCAGGAAGCUCAGGAACGUUUUCCGUUCCCAGGGAUCUCCUCUUUAUUCAUACAAAGAUUUGAUGCUGCUGAGGACCUACUAUGUGCCAAGGACUGCUCUGGGUGCUGGGAUCCACACACAAGCUUCUUUAUUAUAUAGCUUAUAUAGCUCAGUGAGGGAAAUGGAGAAAUAAACAAGUAAAGUAGUGAGAUAGGUGCCAUGAAAGGAAUGGCUGGGGCUGUGGAAGCACCCAAGAGACAAGCGAGGAUGAAGCGCACCUGUUCUGUGCCAGGUGUGGUGCCAGGCAUGGAGGAUGAGUGAUGGAUGACUAAACAACAUCCGGUCUUCAGAGCUUUGAGGCUAGUGUGUUGGGUGGGUGUCAGUAGCGUGGGGGUGGACAGUCAAGGUAGCCUUUCUAAACAGGAAGACAUCUCAGCUGAGAGCUGGCUGGGCAGCAUGUGGUGGGGAUGAGUUCCAGGCAGCAGGAAUGGUGGACUCAAAGUUCUGGGGACUAGAGAGAAUCAAAGAGAUUCUGGAAGGUUCAUGGGGAAGGUAGGAGACAGGUGGGAAGUGGACAUGUACCAGGCUGUGUUGCCAGGGAGUUUGAGCUUUGUCUUAAGGGCAAUUGGGGGUCAUGGAUGUGAUCUUAGGAGAGGAGAUGUUGAUUUGAAUUUUAGGCUGACAAUUUGGCUGUUCGGGCCCAGGUGGAAUUCUGGAGACUAUAAUAAGUUCUGGCCAAUUUUUAGGUAAUAUUAGAACUUCUUGAAACUCGGAGGGCCCUUAGGUCCGUCUGGAGAGAAACAGGAUCUAUAAACGCUUGCCCCUGCUGGAGGGAGUGCUGCCAUGAUUGGAAAGCAAAGAGGGCCAUGUUCGUGCCAGGCAGGGACUUUGCUGAGGUGACAAUGGUGCCUUGGAGGAGGAGCAGUCUCAAUAGUGUAUCAGCCCAGGCGCCUGGUGGUAUACGGCUGCCAGACAAGAUCUGAGGGGAUGUGGUCACGGGCUGCAGGUCUAAGAAUAUCACUGGAGAGGGAGCCCAUUUGUCAUGGGUGACUGCAAGGGCACCAGCUAACAUGAAGGAGUAAGCUCCCAAGAGGCUGAUCCUGGUCCCAGGGAGGAAAAAUAUCUGUCUUGGUGGGUAACGGACCUUCUGUCCCUAGAGACAGAAGGAUUGGGACUAGGCCACCUUUAAGAUGGAUGAUGGCGGUGAGAUUUUAGGAGCGUGCGUGCGUGCGUGUAUGUGUGUGUCUGUGUGUCCAUCCUCAAUAUGGGAGGAAGUUGAGCUCAAGUAGGCACACUGUUUACCCGCCUGACUUGGGCCUGCUGAUGUUCACUCUGGCCAUGAGUCUACUGAACAUCAAGCUUAUUAGGAGCAGGAGCUCAUGAGCUGGGGAAUUGGUCUCCCAGAGGCAUCUUACUCUUUUCAUAGGCAGCAUAGAGAGUGUGGCCACUGUGGACCGUGCUUGAGGGCUGUGCUGCCACAAAUGCUGACAUUGAGCUGGGAGAAUGCCCAGGGUGGGGGAGUAGUCUCAUCCCAACAAAGGACCCCAAAGGCCCUCUUGAAAGUCUUUCCAGGGACUCACUGUUUUACUUUAACAGAGUAGAGAAUACAUGUUUUGUGUUAUUGCCUCCUGGGGAUGUUGAAUGUGGGAACAGAAAUUCUGUUGUAGAUUAAAAAUCAGAUUUUUAACCUGGAAUCAUCAAUGGAGUGCAAACUUGGCUUUUUUGUUGUUGUUGUUGUUUUCACCCAUGAAUGUUGCUUCUUCUGUGUAAAUACCAUUUUGAUAUUAAAAACCAAUUCACACCCAAA